CAUAUCAAUAAGCGGAGGAAAAGAAACCAACANNGGGGGAANUGNCCUCAGUAACGGCGAGUGAAGCGGCAAAAGCUCAAAUUUGAAACCCUCGGGAUUGUAAUUUGAAGAUUUGGCAUUGGAGAAAGCUAACCCAAGUUGCUUGGAAUAGUACGUCAUAGAGGGUGACAACCCCGUCUGGCUAACCGUUCUCCAUGUAUUGCCUUAUCAAAGAGUCGAGUUGUUUGGGAAUGCAGCUCAAAGUGGGUGGUAAACUCCAUCUAAAGCUAAAUACUGGUGAGAGACCGAUAGCGAACAAGUACUGUGAAGGAAAGGUGAAAAGAACUUUGAAAAGAGAGUGAAAUAGUAUGUGAAAUUGUUGAUAGGGAAGGAAAUGAGUGGAGAGUGGCCGAGGUUUCAGCCGCCCCUCGUGGGCGGUGUACUGCCGACGCCGAGUCAUCGAUAGCGAGACGAGGGUUACAAAUGGGAGCGCCUUUCGGGCGUUCUCCCCUAACCCUCCACACUGCCACCGACGACAAUANCAAAAACCCAUUUCACCCGUCUUGAAACACGNACCNA
rnacentral:rRNA from 1 species